UGUGUUGCAGCUAACUGUACCAAUAAAGCAUGUUUAAAAGAUGGAAUAAGUCUACACAAUAUUCCAUACUUCAAUGACGAACACGCGGAAGCUAAAAGACGAAGAAAAGUAUGGGUUGAUUUUGUACGCGCAAAGCGUUUGUUUGUGCCGUCAAAGACUUCGACUAUAUGCUCGGAUCAUUGUGGAACAGAGGAUUACGAGAGGCAAUUUUUUUCGUUGCCGGGGCUCGGCAAGCCUAACUAUCUG